rnacentral:tmRNA from 1 species
GGGGGUGACAUGGCUUCGACGCGGAUCACGAAACUCUAGGUGCAUGUCGAGGGGUAGAGCCUCGUUAAAAUCUGCAAAAAAUUUAGUUGCCAACGACGACAACUACGCUCUAGCCGCUUAAU